rnacentral:rRNA from 1 species
UCAAGUUAUAAAGAGCACAGGGUGAAUGCCUUGGCACUAGGAGCCGACGAAAGACGUGGUAAGCUGCGAAAAGCUUCGGGGAGCUGCACACAAGCUUUGAUCCGGAGAUAUCUGAAUGGGGAAACCUAACUGAGAAAAGCUCAGUUAUCCAUACGUGAAUACAUAGCGUAUGGAAGGGACACGCUGGGAACUGAAACAUCUAAGUACCAGCAGGAGGAGAAAGAAAACUCGAUUUCCUGAGUAGCGGCGAGCGAAAAGGAAACAGGCCAAACCAGAGGACCUAGUUCUCUGGGGUUGCGGACUGCAUCAUGCAAUGGAGGCUAUGGUAGUCGAAGUGUUUUGGGAAAGCACACCGAAGAGGGUGAAAGUCCUGUAGACGAAACCAGAAAACCUGCAGCAGUAUCCAGAGUACCACGAGACACGAGAAACCCUGUGGGAAGCCGGGGGGACCACCCCCCAAGCCUAAAUACUCCCUAGUGACCGAUAGUGAAGUAGUACUGUGAAGGAAAGGUGAAAAGAACCCCGGGAGGGGAGUGAAAAAGAACCUGAAACCUUGUGCUUACAAACAGUCAGAGGACUUCGUGUCUGAUGGCGUACUUUUUGUAGAACGGUCCGGCGAGUUACUAGCACUAGCAAGGUUAAAUACUAAAAAGGUAUGGAGCCGAAGGGAAACCGAGUCUUAACAGGGCGUAUAGUUAGUGUUAGUAGACCCGAAACCGGGUGACCUAUCCAUGUCCAGGUUGAAGACACCGUAAAAGGUGUUGGAGGACCGAACACACAUCUGUUGAAAAAGGUGGUGAUGAGGUGUGGAUAGCGGAGAAAUUCCAAUCGAACUCGGAGAUAGCUGGUUCUCCUCGAAAUAGCUUUAGGGCUAGCCUCGAGAGGAGUCUAACGGAGGUAAAGCACUGAACUGAUGCGGGGCCCUAAAAGGUUACCAAGUCAUAUCAAACUAAGAAUGCCGUCAAGAUACCCUCGGGAGUCAGACUACGUGAGAUAAGUUUCGUGGUCAAAAGGGAAAGAGCCCAGACCGACAGCUAAGGUCCCAAAGUACGUGUUAAGUGGAAAAGGAUGUGGGAUUUCAUAGACAACUAGGAUGUUGGCUUAGAAGCAGCCAUACAUUUAAAGAGUGCGUAAUAGCUCACUAGUCGAGAAAACCUGCGCCGAAAAUGUAACGGGGCUAAAACACGACACCGAAGCUACGGAUUCCUUACAAAGUAAGGAGUGGUAGAGGAGCAUCCUGCAAGGACGAAGCCAAAGUGAGAGCGAUGGUGGACGAAACAGGAGAGAGAAUGCCGGAAUGAGUAGCGAGAUACAUGUGAGAAACAUGUAGGCCGAAUAUCUAAGGAUUCCUGGGUAAAGCUAAUCUUCCCAGGGUUAGUCGGGGCCUAAGGCGAGGACGAAAGUCGUAGUCGAUGGAUAACAGGUUGAUAUUCCUGUACUACACAUAAUCAGAACUGUGGGGACGCAGGAGGAUAGGGAAACCGGGGAAUGGAAAGACCCGGUCAAGCGUAAAGCUGUGGGAGAUAGGCAAAUCCGUCUCCUGUAAGUGAAACGUGAUGAGGACUGAAAAAAAGUAAGGAAGUUUCCGAAUCCACACUGCCGAGAAAAGCCGCUAUUGCGUUAUGUGUACCCGUACCGUAAACCGACACAGGUAGAUGAGGAGAAAAUCCACAGGCCGACGGGAGAAGUGUUGUUAAGGAACUCGGCAAAAUGACCCCGUAACUUCGGGAUAAGGGGAGCCUCGCAAGAGGCCGCAGAAAAGAGGCACAAGCAACUGUUUAGCAAAAACAUAGGUCUAUGCGAAACCGUAAGGUGAAGUAUAUGGGCUGACGCCUGCCCGGUGCUGGAAGGUCAAAAGGAGAGGUCAGCGCAAGCGAAGCUUUGAAUUCAAGCCCCAGUAAACGGCGGCCGUAACUAUAACGGUCCUAAGGUAGCGAAAUUCCUUGUCAGGUAAGUUCUGACCCGC